rnacentral:lncRNA from 1 species
GGGAGCAAGAACCCACUGUACAGACACAGGGAAUGCAGACCUCAUGAUUCAUGUGAUGAAGAAAACAGGAACCUCCAAAUUGAUUUCUCGGAAAGCCGGCGGACUAAGCAGAUGUGAACCCAGCGAUGUUCAGAGGAAGCUCAGAGCUCAUGGAGGAGAGAAGCAAACUGUAGCUGUUAUGCACAUGGUGACUGGAACUAAAUGUAUGAGGGUUUGCAUCAGGUUCUACUGUAUCAUUGACUAGCUGAGCCAAAAACUGUGCCGGUUACUUAAUCUUCCUGAAUCUGUUUCUUCAUCUACAAGAUGCAGGUUGUGUAUAUUAUCCUAUGGCAAAUGUUUCCACAGAGCCUAUUUAUUAUAGAAUAAACAAUAAGCGAAUCAUAAAUUUACCUAGUCUUAAAUCGACAGAUAAGGAAAAUGAAGACUCAAGUCAAAGCUUGGCAAAGAAAUUGAGUUAAUUAUAGAACUUGUAACAGAAUAGGCAUUUCUUCCCCAAACUCAAAGUUUUGUUAUACAGACAUUCUACUUCUCACAGCACUUCUCUGAGAAAAGUAGAUGCUACGCCUGAUUACUGAGGGAACAGCAGUGGAAG